UUAGAGUUUGAUCCUGGCUCAGGAUGAACGCUAGCGGCAGGCUUAACACAUGCAAGUCGAGGGGCAGCGAGAUCAGCGCUUGCACUGAUUGUCGGCGACCGGCGCACGGGUGCGUAACGCGUAUGCAACCUACCCAUUACAGGGGGAUAACACUGAGAAAUCGGUACUAAUACCCCAUAACAUCCAGGGAGGCAUCUUCUUGGGUUGAAAACUCCGGUGGUAAUGGAUGGGCAUGCGUUGUAUUAGUUAGUUGGUGGGGUAACGGCUCACCAAGACAACGAUACAUAGGGGGACUGAGAGGUUAACCCCCCACAUUGGUACUGAGACACGGACCAAACUCCUACGGGAGGCAGCAGUGAGGAAUAUUGGUCAAUGGACGCAAGUCUGAACUAGCCAUGCCGCGUGCAGGAAGACGGCUCUAUGAGUUGUAAACUGCUUUUGUACGAGGGUAAACGCAGAUACGCGUAUCUGUCUGAAAGUAUCGUACGAAUAAGGAUCGGCUAACUCCGUGCCAGCAGCCGCGGUAAUACGGAGGAUUCAAGCGUUAUCCGGAUUUAUUGGGUUUAAAGGGUGCGUAGGCGGUCGGAUAAGUUAGAGGUGAAAUCCCGGGGCUCAACUUCGGAAUUGCCUCUGAUACUGUUCGGCUAGAGAGUAGUUGCGGUAGGCGGAAUGUAUGGUGUAGCGGUGAAAUGCUUAGAGAUCAUACAGAACACCGAUUGCGAAGGCAGCUUACCAAGCUACUUCUGACGUUGAGGCACGAAAGCGUGGGGAGCAAACAGGAUUAGAUACCCUGGUAGUCCACGCAGUAAACGAUGAUAACUCGUUGUCGGCGAUACAGUGUCGGUGACUAAGCGAAAGCGAUAAGUUAUCCACCUGGGGAGUACGUUCGCAAGAAUGAAACUCAAAGGAAUUGACGGGGGCCCGCACAAGCGGAGGAACAUGUGGUUUAAUUCGAUGAUACGCGAGGAACCUUACCCGGGCUUGAAAGUUAGUGACGGAUCUUGAAAGAGGUCUUCCCUUCGGGGCACGAAACUAGGUGCUGCAUGGUUGUCGUCAGCUCGUGCCGUGAGGUGUCGGGUUAAGUCCCAUAACGAGCGCAACCCCUACCGUUAGUUGCCAGCAGGUCAAGCUGGGCACUCUGACGGGACUGCCGGUGUAAGCCGAGAGGAAGGUGGGGAUGACGUCAAAUCAGCACGGCCCUUACGUCCGGGGCUACACACGUGUUACAAUGGCAGGUACAGAGGGCAGCUACCCAGCGAUGGGAUGCGAAUCUCGAAAGCCUGUCUCAGUUCGGACUGGAGGCUGAAACCCGCCUCCAUGAAGUUGGAUUCGCUAGUAAUCGCGCAUCAGCCAUGGCGCGGUGAAUACGUUCCCGGGCCUUGUACACACCGCCCGUCA
rnacentral:rRNA from 1 species